rnacentral:rRNA from 1 species
GAAGAACCUUACCAAGGCUUGACAUAUACAGGAAUACGGCAGAGAUGUCGUAGCCGCAAGGUCUGUAUACAGGUGGUGCAUGGUUGUCGUCAGCUCGUGUCGUGAGAUGUUGGGUUAAGUCCCGCAACGAGCGCAACCCUCGUUCUGUGUUGCCAGCAUUUAGUUGGGGACUCACAGGAGACUGCCGGGGUUAACUCGGAGGAAGGUGGGGAUGACGUCAAAUCAUCAUGCCCCUUAUGUCUUGGGCUGCACGCAUGCUACAAUGGCUGGUACAAACGGCUGCAAUACCGCAAGGUGGAGCGAAUCCGAGAAGGCCAGUCUCAGUUCGGAUUGGGGUCUGCAACUCGACCCCAUGAAGUCGGAGUUGCUAGUAAUCGUAGAUCAGCAACGCUACGGUGAAUACGUUCCCGGGGCUUGUACACACCGCCCGUCACAUCACGAAAGUCGGUAACACCCAAAGUCAGU